rnacentral:lncRNA from 1 species
CCUCCCCCACCCCCAUCUCUGCCUCAGGUGGCCGUCCUGGCAGCAGCUACCAGACAAGCCCUCAGAGACCCGGCUUCCUCAGAUGACCUUGGACUUCCAGCAUUUCAUCUCCUCUCCUGUCUUCCACCCCAGGUUUUCAUUAUGGAAGGCUAACAUUUCAGCCUAAUUGUUUGGUGAUCAAAGCUGAUGAUUCUGUCUCCAAUCAGCCCUACAGAAUGCUGAUCUUCCCACAUCAGAGUAACAGAGUUGUGGCUGGUGGUACUGUGGAGCGCUUCUAGAAGAUUUACGUGUAGCACCUGCUUCACUUGCUUCUGAGAAAGUCUUUGUUGCUAGAUGUCCACUCUCUCCCCCUGGAGCCGGCCAGAAUGGUGACAACCAGAGAGCCUGGGAAACCUCAUGCUGAAGUCCGUGGAGCUGCUGUCAGGCUGGCUCUGCCACUACCUGCAACUCUUUAGUUUAGCAGCCUAGUGUAAUGAGGUCAUAUGACAUUUUCUGUUUUCUUCCAAAAGUUUUCAAGUUUUCCUUUUCACAUCUAGAUUUUAAAUCUGCUUGGCCUUGGCUGUUAUGAUGGCCAUAAAUUAUAGAGUCUUUUUUCAAAUGAAUAAACAACUAUCCUGUUACCCA